CUCUUCUUUCCUUCCUCUCUCAUAUACACCUUGUCUCUUGUACAAUACAAACAUGUGAAAUACAUUGAAACUUAAAGCUAGAAAAUCCACAUAUGUGACAGUCAAUUACUAAGAGGGAAUGUUCAACCACUAAGUAAUUUGACUGUCGCCAAACACGUAUUCCUUUGAUUUUGGUUAAUCUGGCUCCAUUUGUAUCAAUGCGACAUCUUCUUACUGGAUAGUCCUACAAAUCCAAGAUUCUCUAGUCUAUAUGUAGGGAGGUCUUGGUCCCAAGUGCAAAACUUAUGCAAGGUUCCCCUCUUAUAAAGAGGGUUAGGCUCCGUUUGGGAUUGAGGUGAUUUUAAAAAAAGCCAUUGUGAAAAAAAGCUGAGGGUCAUUUUUGUGUUUGGUAAACUGAAAAAAAAGGGCUUAUUUUGGAAGCUGCUGUGAGAAUAAGCUGAAAAUCAAAGGAAAAGCUGAAGCUGCUAUUUGCUGCUUUGAAAAAAAGCCAGUUUUUUCAAAGCACACGGAGCUACAGUGCUCCUUUAAUGAAAAGACACACUAUCAUCCUGCUUUUUUUUCCAAAAGCACUUUCACAAAAAAGUUUACCAAACACUCUACUGGCUUUAUUUCACAGCCGCUUAUUCUCACAGCACAGCCGCUUAUUCUCACAGCAGCUUUUUUUCAAAGCACAGCAAUACCAAACCAUCCCUUAGACAGUCGACCUAAUCCGACUGUGAGACACAAAAACUUGCCUACACAUAGAUGCCAC
rnacentral:lncRNA from 1 species